rnacentral:rRNA from 1 species
UGUUCGAGCGUCAUUUCAACCCUCAAGCCCCCCGGGCUUGGUGUUGGGGAUCGGGCAUCAGGCGCUGGCACCUCCGGGAGCCGCGCCCCGCCCGUCCCUCAAAUACAGUGGCGGUCACGCCGUGUGUACCUCAGCGUAGUAGCAACACCUCGCUCCGGGACCCUUCUGUGACCACGCCGUAAAACCCCCGACUUUUUUCUGGUUGACCUCGAAUCAGGUAGGACUACCCGCUGAACUUAAGCAUAUCAAUAAGCGGAGGAAAAGAAACCAACAGGGAUUGCCCCAGUAACGGCGAGUGAAGCGGCAACAGCUCAAAUUUGAAAUCUGGCCCCCGGGUCCGAGUUGUAAUUUGUAGAGGAUGCUUUUGGCAAGGUGCCUUCCGAGUUCCCUGGAACGGGACGCCAUAGAGGGUGAGAGCCCCGUCUGGUCGGACACCGCGCCUCUGUAAAGCUCCUUCGACGAGUCGAGUAGUUUGGGAAUGCUGCUCUAAAUGGGAGGUAUAUGUCUUCUAAAGCUAAAUACCGGCCAGAGACCGAUAGCGCACAAGUAGAGUGAUCGAAAGAUGAAAAGCACUUUGAAAAGAGAGUUAAAAAGUACGUGAAAUUGUUGAAAGGGAAGCGAUGCUAUCGAUGAAGAGCGCGGCGGUUCCCCC